rnacentral:piRNA from 1 species
UAAAACUGAAGUUGAUAUAGUGACUGUGACU